rnacentral:lncRNA from 1 species
AUUUAUAACUCCGUAUUAAUGCUUUUUUAUUCUCAUUUAUAUUUUUCAUUACAUAUAUAUUUAUUUAUUCAUUUACAUAUUAUACUUAUAUUUUCUAUUUCCAUUUGCAUUUCUAUUUAUUCUUUUUUAUAAUGGAGAGUAAUGUUGAAAUUUUAUUAAAAGCAGAAGAAGAAAAGGAGCAAGGAAACGCUUUAUUUAAAAGUGGGGAUUAUGAAGUAAUUAAAAAAAAAAAAAAAAAAAAAAUAUAUAUAAACAAAUAAGAAAUGAAUGAAUAAACAAGUAAUUAAAAAUUAGCCUACAUUUUAUGGUGUUUGUACAUUUUGAUAUGAUUUUUUUUUUUUUUUUUUUUUUUUUUUUAUGUGUACAUAUUUGUAUAUUUUGAUUGAUUAACCAAUAUUCGAAUAACAUUUUAUUUUCUUAUCUACACCAUUUUAGUUGUCAAUUUUUCAUUACACUCGAAGUAUAAAUUAUAUACCCACGUGUUCUCUUUUAUAUACUAACAGAUCUUUAGCAUAUUAUAAAAUAGGUGAAUAUAACAAAAGUUUAUGUGAUGCAUUAAAAGCUAAGGAUCUGGACCCAAAUAAUUUAAAAAGUUAUUACAGGCUAUGUGAAGCAUAUAAAGCAUUAAACGACACUAAAAAUUAUGAAAAGUAUUUAAAAAUAUAUGAAGAAAAAAAAUAUAACAAUGCAGCUGAUGGUGGCAAAAAAAAAAGUAGCAAAAAUGACAACAAAAACGACAACAAAAACGACAACAAAAACGGCAUUAAAAGAGACAACAAAAGCGGCAUUAAAAAAAGCUCAGAACUAAUUAGUUUGUAUGAGAAUAAACAGAACGAAAAAUUUCUGUUUUUUAAUAAUACCUAUAAUAAUAAUAAUGAAGAAGAAAAAAAAAAAAUAGGAAAUUCGAAAAAGUGCCAUAUAAAAAUAAUUUUUUAAUAGAAGAGGUUUAUGAUUUUACCAAAAAAAAAGAUCAAAACGAUGUUAAUAAAAAUAAAACAUUACACGAAAAAAAUAAUUCU